GCCAUAUGUCUGCCAGGUGUCUGAGUUGACGGCUUAAAUACCUCGCAGCUUACCAGUACAAAACAACAUCACGGCCGCUCGGUGACGUCGACGGAGUCCUUUGUUCUUUCAGCGUCCUACCUUAGAUAACAGGAUCUCAUUGGUGCCAUCAAGUCCGGAUCAACUGCAGCUGCAAUGUUCCUGGUGGGACCUAUCCUGGUGAGAGGUUGUCCGAUGCCAUCUCCACGGCUAGCUGUACGGUGACGUCCAGAAUGAUCGGUGCUUGUGUGUACGCCCUGCAAGAGGACCUGAAACUAAGAUAAGUUCUUGUGUGUUUUAUUGGGUGUAAAACGGAAACAUCUCGCAGAGAUCGAUGGGCUGGGAAUAACUUGUCGGUGGCAUGAUAAGAAGGAAAUAAUUUGUGCGGCCUUUUGUGCGUUAUGAAUUACAAAAAAGCAAGAAGUCUGUCUUUAACUAAUUGAAAUUUCGCUUUGUUGUUUCCAGGACCUUAUUGGUGCCAUCAAGGUGGCGUCCAGAAAGAUCGGUGCUCGAGUUUACGCCCUGCCAAGGGACCUGAAACUAAGUUAAGUACUCUUGCGUCUUAUGGGGUGUAAAACGGAAACUUAUAGCAGAGAUGGGCUGGGACUUGCUUUUCAUCGGCAUGAUAGGAAGUAAAUUAGUUGUGAUGUUUCGUUAACUGAACUCUUAGUUGUAGGUAAGGUGCUUGAGUGUGUUCUGUUGACAUUCCGAGCGAUGUUGUCGGGAGGGGUUUACAUUAGGACAUUUUGUAAAUGGAGGCUCCUUUUGCAUUCAGGGCUUCAGUCCGUUUCUUUGGUGUACAGGCCUGGUGUGUGGCUGGUUUGGUUUCUGUGAUUAUGUCGAUGGCCGGGAUGGUAUUCGGUCAAUUAUUUCAAAUUCUGUUCUUUAUAAACAGGGUCUUCCCUGGUUCACCAUCUGUCGUCAUUUCUGUUUUAUGUCAUGGUCAGUGGUUGUCGGGGACCUAGACCAUUACAUAAUCUGCCUCGUGUUGUUUUCUUGGGUCCCGAACCAAGAGAACGGCACAGGCCAGAAAGGAGGACAGGUGGCUGAAGAACCUAUUUGAUAUUACUAGUUUAGUCGUUUAGAUAAAACUUGCCAUCUCGGCGUCGACAUAGUCACAGAAACUGAAUCAGCUAUGCAUUGGGCUUGUAUAUCACAGAAGCAGACUGAAGCAUUGAGUGCAGAAGUAGCUAUAGCUCUCGAAAAUCCAAGCAAAACAAAGGCAGCAUUAUGCCAAAAGCAGCAUUACUUAGGAUUUCAUCAAAGCACACUCAACACCCUGCCAACAAACAAGAGGUAUAAUGAUUUCUCUCGCUAUUUCUAUGUUAAAACUAGAACUGAAAUUACAAUGACAAAACAUGUGAGCUUCCUGCCAUGCCAAUACACGUAGCUUAGCUUUCUUUUAUGUAUAUUGUUAGGUAUAGUCUUCCCAUAGUUCUGGGUUAGGUUUAAUUUUUGUCUCGUCUUUUCUCCCGAGGAUCAUCCCACCGUAAGAAGAAAUAUCUGGACGCGGAAAGGGAGGCGAGGACUGGCGAAGGAAGGUGCCGAACGUGAGCGAACGGGCUUCGCAGUCUUUUAUGACAAGAAAUGUCUAGUUGGGAAGCGAGGAAAGGUGCUGGCUGGGAAUGGAGGUGUAAAGCGUCACGGUUACUGAAAGUGAUUCGUGACAGCAUCCGGUGCAUCACCAAGCCAAGGAGGCAUGAGUGUUUCCCAACAUAGACAAGCAAUGUCUGGACGUUAGGUACGUCACUGAAGGCGCUUCACAACAUCUGGAGAGACAGUGGUCCUGACAGAAGGCGUCUUGGUGCCUCCUCGUGGCUGGAUUUCAGCAACUUCUGGAGAUUACAUAACUAAAUUUAGAUGUCUGUAUGUAAGUCGGCUCUGCAAACAAGACAUUGAGAAGAAAUGUCUGGACGCCAUAAGGGAGGAGAGGAGCUGGGUAUGGAGGUGUAAAGCAUCACCGUCACUGACAAUAUCGUGAUUCGUGACAACACCAAGUGCAUCACCAAGGAGUCACAAUAAGUUGGGAAGGAGACAUCUCCCAGCAGCUUCCAGGACCGCAUUGAUUCCUGAUCAACUGCAGCUGCAAUGUUCAUGGUGGGACUUAUCCUGGUGAGAGAUUGUCCGACACCAUCUCCACGGUGACGUCCAGAAAGAUCGGUGCUCGUAUGUGCGCCCUGCGAUCUGAGUGAUCUAGCCAGUAGAGCGUUAGGACAUUUUGUAAAUGGAGGCUCCUUUUCCCCUCAGAGCUAAAACACGUUUCUGUGGUGUACAAGCUUGGUGUGUGGCUGAUAUUAUUUCUGUGACUGUGUCGAUGGCCGGGAUUGUAUUCAGUCAGUUACUGUUAAUUCUGUUCUUUAUAAACAGGGUCUUCCCUGGUUAACCAACUGUUGUCCUUUCUGUUUUAUGUCAUGGUCAGUGGUUGUCGGGGACCUAGACCAUUACAUAAUCUGCCUCGUGUUCUUUUCUUGGGUCCCGAACCAAGAGAAUGACACAGGCCAGAAAGGCAGGAGGUUGAAAAGCCUAUUUAUAUCAAUAUUUUAGUCUUUAGUUCUUAUCGACGCAGUCACAGAAACCGAAUCAAUACAAACAGAAUGCAAAGUGUACGGUUUUACAGUUAUCAUGUAUAUCACGAUGUUAGAUACAUGUACAUAUAGUUAAGCUUACAUACGUUAGGUAUAGUUUUCCCCAUAUUUCUGAGUGAAGGUUUCGUCUCUUUUUGUUAAUGGGCUUGGAGAUGUAGUGUUGUUUAGGCGCUUUUUGUUAGAAGCAUCUGUUUCUGAUUGUAUUUGUUUGAUGCCAUUCCAGUACAGGGGUCGCUGAUGCUGGAUUGUUUUUUUUUAUUGUCGCAGAAAAGUAGUCUACAUGUUAGAAUUCUGUAAAUGUCAACAUUGUACGUUUAUUGUGUAGAGGUUGUAGCCCUUUAAAUCAGUUGUUUGGAAAUUUCCCUAGUAACUGAGGCUAAGGCUGGAGCUGACACUAACACAAGACAGACACAUACACACAUACACACUAACAGCCUAACCCCACCAAACACACAUUUUGACGGACACUAAUAAUCAGCUCAAAUGCCUUAGCCUUAGACUGAAAAAAUUCUAUGAUUGUUUAAGUACAAAGGCUCCACGCUACCUCUAUACCAUGUACUGACAUGUUGAUAUUUAAUGAUUUUAGCUUUUUUUAUCCACUAUGUCCUAGAGUGAGGGUAAUUGUUAAGCUGAAUGGGUUAAUUUUUUUAUGCUAGAGUAUCCUCAUUUAUUAUGCGGUUUGUGUA